CCAGACUCCUACGGGAGGCAGCAGUGGGGAAUAUUGGGCAAUGGGCGCAAGCCUGACCCAGCAACGCCGCGUGAAGGAAGAAGGCUUUCGGGUUGUAAACUUCUUUUAAGAGGGACGAGACAAAUGACGGUACCUCUUGAAUAAGCCACGGCUAACUACGUGCCAGCAGCCGCGGUAAUACGUAGGUGGCAAGCGUUAUCCGGAUUUAUUGGGUGUAAAGGGCGUGUAGGCGGGAAAGCAAGUCAGAUGUGAAAACUAUGGGCUCAACCCAUAGCCUGCAUUUGAAACUGUUUUUCUUGAGUGCUGGAGAGGCAAUCGGAAUUCCGUGUGUAGCGGUGAAAUGCGUAGAUAUUAGGAGGAACACCAGUGGCGAAGGCGGCCUACUGGACGGUGACUGACGCUGAGGCUCGAAAGCGUGGGGAGCAAACAGGAUUAGAUACCCCAGUAAUG
rnacentral:rRNA from 1 species